ensembl:lncRNA novel transcript
CAAGGCAUUUAAUGGUUGAAAAGUUGAUAUUUUCCAAGAUAAUUUAAAAAUUAUUGAUGGAGUGUCACUCUGUCUCCCAGGCUGGAGUGCAGUUGUGCGAUCUCGGCUCACGGCAACCUCUGCCUCCCAAGUUCAAGCAAUUCUCCUGCCACAGCCUCCUGAGUAGCUGGGACUACAGGCAUGAGACCCAUUUUGUUUAUAUUAUAACCCAUCAGAUGUUGUUAUCCCCAUUGUAAAAGUGAGACAACUGAGGCAAAAAGAUACAAAGUAAUUUUCCUACAAAUGCACAGCUAAAAUUAGCAAAGCUGGGCUUUGAGAGCUGGCACACUGGCUUGAAACCAUAAAAUAAUUGCCUCUAUUCUUAAAAAAAGUAAGUCUAUUUCUCAUUAAUAAACACAAUUAAU